rnacentral:lncRNA from 1 species
GUGUUGAACAGAAGUCCUGGAGUACACAGACCAACGUUCUAUGAGGUCCUCCUACAUGGAGGGUGUCAUUCCCAAGCCUGGUACAGCCUUGCUUCUUUUCUGUCUCUCUGAACGGGGAGGGAAGACCAUCAGCCACAGACAGCAGCGGCAGAAGCAGCCUGCCAGCAGAUCUCAUGGCCCUUACAAAGGUCACAGCAGCCUGGCAUGUGACCUUUGAUGUCCCCUCCACACCUAACUUAAUGUCUACUGAGGACAUGUAAAGUCUCAGCGUUUGAGCAAUACCAAAACCAACCAACGGGGAGAUUCAUAGCAGCCACUACAUAAUCACCCCCAGCUGAGUGGACCUCUCUCUCCUCCUUGGUGCUGACACUUCCUGCUGAUCCCUUCAUGAAUACAGUUCCUUUCACUUCCUAAGCGGACUCAGAACCUGGAAAGGGCUCUCCUCUUGUCACUGUGACUGAAUAACUAACAAGAACCGGCUUGAGAGAAGCAGGAUGGAUUUUCACUCUGAGCACCCAAGUAAAACGUGUUGGGAUCACGCACUUCCUUCCCCAGAAUUUGGUGGCCUAGACAAGCAGAAUUCAGAUGUGGUAUCUGCUGCCCAUGAGUGAAGCCUCAGGGUGUGGCCAAGAGCUGGCAGAAGAGAUGGUCACUACUCAUCCACCCUUGUAACAAGUUCUCUCAAUAUGGCGUUGUCUCAUAAAAUCAGGCCAGGCAAAGAUGAAAGCGGGCAUAUGCCCUGUACAUCCUACUUGGAUCUGGAGUGUAUUAGAUGAUUUGCCAGCCUGCUCUGCCUUGCUCUCACUGGGGUACCAUUGAGUGGAUCCGUUACUGACACCUAAAGCGGCAGAGAGACUUCGGAGACAAUCAUGGGCCACUGAUAAACACUGUAUUAAUCACUUUUCUGUUGCUAUGAUAAAAUACUGUGAUUG